GUGAGCCCCUUGGUGCGGAGAAACUUGGAGAUGAAGGACACGGCGGCGGCGAUCUCGCCUAUCAUGGUGGCGGCCCGGGUGUAGAAGGGAUGCAUGGGGGCGGCGUGCGGGGGCGGCCCGGGGCGGCUGGGGCUCGGCGGCGCGGCCCCGACGGCGGAGCAGCCACCCCGGGCUUCCUCACCGGGCGGAAGGCUGAGAGGAAGAGAGGGCGUGAGGGGCGGACGACUACUUUUGUCUUUCUUUCUUUAGACUAAAAAAGUUAUUUUCGAGACAGGAGGCGGCAGGAGAGAGGAAGAGACGAGCGAUGGCGGCCUGGUCACAUCGCUCGGACCUCCCCAGCUGCCUCCGCCUCCAGCUCCGCAGCAUUCGAAGAUCUCAAUAGCUGCAUUUCCAGCUCCGAGAGGCGAAGAGAUGCAAGCGCCGUGCAGCACCCUUUAUAGUGCCACGAAAAGGAAGUGGCGUAGCUGGAGCGUGAUGGCCGACUCCAGCCAAUCCGAAUAUCGCACCAUUGUGACGCAAGCCGGUUCGGAGCCGAAAGGGGCGGGAAAAGAGUUCAGGAGGCGGGUCCAGAGAUAGGGAAGAGAGGGAGGAGCUGACGUAAUCCGCUUGUAAACAAAUAAACCCGGAGUGGCGGCUGGAGACCCAGUUGCUUGUGUCGAGGGAGGGAGGGAGGGAACAGAGGGUGCGCGUGUGAAAGCUCCGCCCCCAGCCCUAGCUCCUCCUUCCCGCUUCAGCAGGUCCAGGCUCUGCGCCAGUGCAUCCUUCUCCAAGAGUGCGCUGCCUGGGCCCGCUUGCCCUGGAGUUAACUUCAGCAGUCAACGGAGAGAAGAGUGGAAACCUUACUGGAUGCGGACAGGAGAGCCAGUUACUGAAAGCAGAUAUAACGCGGAUCCUGUAAAGAGUGAAAGGAGAAGACCACUUUUAGUUGCCUCCCUGCUAGCACCCUGACUUGCUCUGCUUGAAUAAGAAUCCAAGGACACAAGCUAAGACAUUUGCACUGGGUUUAGAUCUACUGCGAUUCACAAAACACAAAAGAACUUUCAGUCAGAGGGUGACACAUAAUGAUUUUAGACAAAACUCAGUUUCUUCUGGUGGAAGCUAUUCAGAUUGUUUGGAGAGUGGGAGGAAAAAGGAGUGAAGCAUCGCUUAACAACAAAAGUAAUAAUGCAGUGAUUGACAGACAAACCCCUAAAAUGAGAAGGAUCAGUGCGUCUGUCUGUAGAGAGUGACAGCGUUGAAGCAAGACAUUCAGAAGCCAGCCUGACACAAAGGGGACAAGAACAACUGCCACCCCAGCCCCCAUCUCAUUCCAACCCAAGAGACGAAUUGUAUAUUUCCACAUAUGCUGGACAAUAGGCAGAAAGUGGAGACCCAAAGAACUUGUGAUAUGACGGACAUAAGAAGCUUCAGUUGGCCUCAAAUGUCAAAUAAUAUCCUUCCUGAAUAAUCAAGAAUGUCAAGCUUUUACUUUCUACAUCUUGGACUGUACUUUGUACCAAUCUCAAGUCCCAUAUGAUGCACUUUCUAGGUGAAAAGUUUUUUUUUACAGACCUUAAAUUUUUCUUUAUUUACUUUUUAGAGUGAUGGUAUAUAUUAGUUUCA
rnacentral:lncRNA from 10 species